rnacentral:rRNA from 1 species
UACAGAGGUCUCAAGCGUUGUUCGGAUUCAUUGGGCGUAAAGGGUGCGUAGGCGGCGCGGUAAGUCGGGUGUGAAAUCUUGGAGCUUAACUCCGAAACUGCAUUCGAUACUGCCGUGCUUGAGGACUGGAGAGGAGACUGGAAUUUACGGUGUAGCGGUGAAAUGCGUAGAUAUCGGAAGGAACACCAGUGGCGAAAAGCGGCUUCCUGGUCCAGCACCGACGUU